GUGAGUCAUCGAAUCUUUGAACGCACCUUGCACCCUUUGGUAUUCCGAAGGGUACACCCGUUUGAGUGUCAUUGUAAUCUCACCUCUUCAACUUUGAUGUUGAUCAGUGUGGACUUGGAUGUUGCUGUUCAAUCAACAGCUCAUCUGAAAUGCCUUAGUGUGCCCUGUUUUUGCAGUGUAUUCAGUGUAAUAAGUCUUCACUGGAGAUUGGUCCUUUGGGAUCACAUUGCUUUCACCAAGUGUGCAUGCUUCCAACCGUCUUCACAGGACAAUACUCUGACAAUUUGACCUCAAAUCGGGUGGGACUACCCGCUGAACUUAAGCAUAUCAAUAAGCGGAGGA
rnacentral:misc_RNA from 1 species